rnacentral:rRNA from 1 species
UACGAAGGGGGCUAGCGUUGUUCGGAAUCACUAGGCGUAAAGGGCGCGUAGGCGGCCGUUCAAGUCGGGGGUGAAAGCCUGUGGCUCAACCACAGAAUUGCCUUCGAUACUGGACGGCUCGAGACCGGAAGAGGUCAGUGGAACUGCGAGUGUAGAGGUGAAAUUCGUAGAUAUUCGCAAGAACACCAGUGGCGAAGGCGGCUCACUGGACCAUAACUGACGCUGAUGCACGAAAGCUAGGGGAGCAAACAGG